UACAGAGGGUGCGAGCGUUAAUCGGAAUUACUGGGCGUAAAGCGUGCGCAGGCGGUUCGUUGUGUCUGAUGUGAAAGCCCCGGGCUCAACCUGGGAAUGGCAUUGGAAACUGGCGAGCUAGAGUGUGGCAGAGGGGGGUGGAAUUCCGCGUGUAGCAGUGAAAUGCGUAGAGAUACGGAGGAACACCGAUGGCGAAGGCAGCCCCCUGGGCUGACACUGACGCUCAGGCACGAAAGCGUGGGGAGCAAACAGG
rnacentral:rRNA from 1 species